AUGAACGCUGGCGGCGUGCCUAAUACAUGCAAGUCGAGCGAACAGACGAGGAGCUUGCUCCUCUGACGUUAGCGGCGGACGGGUGAGUAACACGUGGAUAACCUACCUAUAAGACUGGGAUAACUUCGGGAAACCGGAGCUAAUACCGGAUAAUAUAUUGAACCGCAUGGUUUAAUAGUGAAAGACGGUUUUGCUGUCACUUAUAGAUGGAUCCGCGCCGCAUUAGCUAGUUGGUAAGGUAACGGCUUACCAAGGCGACGAUGCGUAGCCGACCUGAGAGGGUGAUCGGCCACACUGGAACUGAGACACGGUCCAGACUCCUACGGGAGGCAGCAGUAGGGAAUCUUCCGCAAUGGGCGAAAGCCCGACGGAGCAACGCCGCGUGAGUGAUGAAGGUCUUCGGAUCGUAAAACUCUGUUAUUAGGGAAGAACAAAUGUGUAAGUAACUAUGCACGUCUUGACGGUACCUAAUCAGAAAGCCACGGCUAACUACGUG
rnacentral:rRNA from 1 species